AAGAGAGAGGAGGGCAGGAGAAAAGGGUGUCUUGGGAUGGUAUAGUUGCUGAGCUCCUGAGGCAAGAAGGAAUGGUUGCUUUAUUUGAGCUAUAGAUGAAAUCUGAGCUCAGCAACCCAUAAACACUGGCCUCUUUUUGAUGUACAAAACCCAGCGCCCCAGCCCAGGCCCCGUCGUCAGGGUGUCCUCAGCAGGGAGGUGCUGCCAUAGGCUUUCUUUUUGCCUCCCAUGUGGCUCCCAGCUCCUGGGAAGCUGUCUGGGUGGGGGCUACCAACCAGAGCUUGGCUGUCCCCCAGCCCUUGCCCUAAGCCUUGACGUCAUCAGUCCAGACAUCUGGCUGUCAGGUCUGAUUGAGCUCGUGCUGCAGGGGAACUAACUCCAUGCAUGUCCACGUCUGCCCCGGCCAGCAGCCCUCACACGCUGGCUCUUUUCCUUGUACAAAACACUAAGCGUCACAGCACCCUUGUAAGUGCCAUGGGGCAGCAAGCAGCUACCUGGAAAGGCUUCGAGGAGGAUUAACAAAGUGUAUGGAGGUUGAAGAGCUGGCUCAGUUGGUGCGGUGUUUGCCACACAAGGAUGAAGAUCUGAAUUCGAUCCCCAGAACUCAGGUUAAAGGUGGGAAAGGGUGAUGUACACUCAUAAUCCCAGUGCUGGGAAGGCAGAGAGACAGGGUUCCGGGAUUUCCCUGACCAGUGAGCUUAGCUGAAUCUGGGAAGCCCUGGCUAGCAAGAGCCCCAGUCACAACAAACAAAGAGGAUGGCUGCUGAGGAAUGACAUUUAAGGUUGACUUCUGGUGUCCAUAUGCGUGUGCACACACACUUACACCAUUCCCUCAAUACAGACCGUGUACUUGGUGCUGAAUAUACCUCAUGGCAGGACCUGACACUCUGAGGAUACACGACUGAGGGCAGCCUAUGCUAGACUAGGAGUGAGCACGGUGCUGGUGAAAGCAAAAGGAUACAUUUCCUGGGUUGACCUGAGGAUGAGCUAUGUCUUCCAGUUUUGGUCUUGAAGAUCUUCACUGCAAAGAGAAUCACAGCCUUUGAAGAAGUGGCAGGCGGCAAGACUUGUGUGCAAAAAGCACACCAUGGACUUGGAACAUGUUUUGUGCCACAAACAAGUGCUCAGAGAUUUCCAGUUCAGAAGGAAAUAAAGGCUAGAUGUAAGUGGCUGCCAGGAGCUGAGCCUGGGACAACAUAACACAGUAGAUAGAAUGGAGACUGAGUGUGUGCUGAUCAAUUUUAAUUGUCAACUUGACACAAACAUAGGACCACCUUCAGGAAGAGAGAACCUCAACUGAGGAAUGGCCUCCAUCAGCUUGGCCUCUGGUCAUGUCUGUGAGAGAUUGUCUUGACUGAUGAUUGAUGUGGGAGGGCUAGAACACCGUGGGUGGCACCAUCCCUACUCAGAACCUGGGCUGUAUGAGAAAGCUGGCUAACAUGGGCCUGAGUGAUGGAGCUCCUGGCUUCUGCAUUAGUUCCUGCUUCAAUUCUUAUCUUGACUUCUUUCAGCCAUAGGCUGUGACCUAGAAGUAUAAGAUGAAAGGAAUACUUUCAUUCUUAAGUUCCUGUGUGUGUGUGUGUGUGU
rnacentral:sRNA from 1 species